rnacentral:rRNA from 1 species
GAUGAACGCUGGCGGCGUGCCUAAUACAUGCAAGUCGAGCGAACGGACGAGGAGCUUGCUCCUCUGACGUUAGCGGCGGACGGGUGAGUAACACGUGGAUAACCUACCUAUAAGACUGGGAUAACUUCGGGAAACCGGAGCUAAUACCGGAUAACAUGUUGAACCGCAUGGUUCAACAGUGAAAGACGGUCUUGCUGUCACUUAUAGAUGGAUCCGCGCCGCAUUAGCUAGUUGGUAAGGUAACGGCUUACCAAGGCAACGAUGCGUAGCCGACCUGAGAGGGUGAUCGGCCACACUGGAACUGAGACACGGUCCAGACUCCUACGGGAGGCAGCAGUAGGGAAUCUUCCGCAAUGGGCGAAAGCCUGACGGAGCAACGCCGCGUGAGUGAAGAAGGUCUUCGGAUCGUAAAACUCUGUUAUUAGGGAAGAACAAAUGUGUAAGUAACUAUGCACGUCUUGACGGUACCUAAUCAGAAAGCCACGGCUAACUACGUG